rnacentral:rRNA from 1 species
UACGUAGGUGGCAAGCGUUGUCCGGAUUUAUUGGGCGUAAAGAGCAUCGUAGGCGGUUCGACAAGUCGGGUGUGAAAACUCCGGGCUCAACCCGGAGACGCCACCCGAUACUGUCGUGACUGGAGUCCGGUAGGGGAGUGGGGAAUUCCUGGUGUAGCGGUGAAAUGCGCAGAUAUCGUAAGGAAGACCAGUGGUGAAGGCGGGUCUCUGGACAGUUCCUGACGCUGAGGCACGAAGGCCAGGGGAGCAAACGGG